CACUGCCUCUUGCAUGUCUUCCCUCUCAGCCCGUCCAGGCCGUGGAGGGAGGAUCAGCGACUCUUCAGUGUCGUCUGGACCCCCCCAUCGACCUGUCCUCUACAACAGUGGAAUGGAAUAGAGGACACACCCGUUACGUUCAUGUUUAUCGAAGUCGGCGCGACGACCCUGAUUCCCAGAUGCUUGAGUACAGAGACAGAACCGCUCUGAAUCAUGGAGACCUGACCAGAGGAGUCGUGACUCUGACCAUCUCCAACGUAUCUCUGUCUAACAAUGGGAUCUUAUGAAGUCUAUCUCCCAGGACCAGAGGUCAGAUGUUCGACUCACCUCACCGUCGUAACAAAGGAGCAAGAGAACCAGACCAAGAGGACCGACUCCAGCACAACCUCACCUCCAGCUGGAGAGAGAAAUGAUGCUUCAAACAGAGAGGCUGGUCUUGCUGCUAUCAUUCUCACAGUUCUCCUGAUUCUCUGCGUUCUCUUGUUCUGCUGGUUCUGAAGAGUGGGAAGAUCCAGGGAUGGAUGGAGACGCUCAGAGGAGGGAAGGACAGAGAUGUUGGGGAAUGAGCCAAAAUGACCAAAUAUCUCUACUUCCACUCAGACUGCAGACAUUC